UACGGAGGAUGCGAGCGUUAUCCGGAUUUAUUGGGUUUAAAGGGUGCGUAGGCGGACGCUUAAGUCAGCGGUAAAAUUGCGGGGCUCAACCUCGUCGAGCCGUUGAAACUGGGUGCCUUGAGUGGGCGAGAAGUACGCGGAAUGCGAGGUGUAGCGGUGAAAUGCAUAGAUAUCACGCAGAACUCCGAUUGCGAAGGCAGCGUACCGGCGCCCAACUGACGCUGAAGCACGAAGGCGUGGGUAUCGAACAGG
rnacentral:rRNA from 1 species